CAAACUUGAUACCUGCACUAUUAUAUUACAAAUAUCCCUGGCUACCAUCCCUGCUAUCUUCACGGAUAACGCUUAAAAAUCUCGUUGUCAAGUAACGGACUACUAUAAUUUUUGAUUUGCACUUAAAAUUUUAUUGUUUUAUAAUAAUUAGGUCUUUAACGUUAUUUUUUUUAUAUUAUUUUACAACAUGAUGUUCAAAAGCCAUAUUUUAAAAUAACUUAAAAAUGUGGACACAAAAAUAUGCUCUUCAGAAGUUAGUAAAAUAUUUUCUCAUGAAAAUGAGAAAAGUAGAACAAUGAACUCAGUGUAUAAUACAUUGAGUAAUAAUUCAAAUGUCAUUGAUGAAAAUAUAAAAUAUUAUAAUGAACUGCAGAAUGUUAGAGUUGAACAUGUUUCUUAAGGAAUUAUUGAGGGACCUGAUCAAAAUGUGAAAAGUAUAAUAGUGAACGCAUAUCAUCAGGUAAUAGACCUGAUAUUAUUAUUACAUAAUGUACAUUAUGUUAUGAAUCAAAUGUCAUUGAUAAAAAUAAAGAAUAUUAUUAUGAACUGCAAAGUAUUAAUGUUGAACAAGCUUUGCAUGACAAAAUUGUACAACAGUGAAUGCAGUGAAUAAGAGAUUAUAUUAUGAACCAAAUGUCAUUGAUGAAAAUAAAGAAUAUUAUAAAUUGCAGAAUGUUUAACAAACUGCUUCUGUUAAAAAUGCUAGUGUAGCAUUUAAUGAAUCUACUAGCGAACAGUAGCAGAAUUUCAUCAACCAAAAUUAGUAAUUUAGAUCUUCACUGCUUAUAUUCAAAACCAAUGCCAAUAAGCCAUGGAAAGAAAAAGAACCUUCUUUAACUAUGUGAAAAGAAUGUUAUGCCAGAAAAGUUUUACAUUUUCUUUAAAAGUUUGCCAAGUAUUCCGCUUAAAAAAGAUAAAGCUUCAGUACCAGGAGUAUUUGAUUCAGA